GGAGUAGUAAGUCAGUGGCAGACGGCGAACUUUGGGGGUUCGGGGUUGCACGUUCAAAUCGUGUCUAUUCCACCA
rnacentral:tRNA from 1 species